rnacentral:lncRNA from 10 species
GCCAAGCUAAUUUUUGUGUUUUUAGUAGAGAUGGGGUUUCACCAUGUUGGCCAGGCUGGUCUCAAAUUCCUGGGCUCAAGUGAUCCACCUGCCUUGGCCUCCCAAAGUGCUGGGAUUACAGGCAUGGGCCACCGCGCCUGGCUUCUAAAGGAGUACUUCUCUAAUUUAUCUUGCUGCCCUUCCCUCUUUCCCAAUUCCCUUAAUUUCCGUUCUAACAUUAGAUGUUGUUGAUUAAGAGACCUUUACCUUCCACAGGUUCUGUAAUCCAAGAUGUCUGUAAAGAGCUGGGAUAUCACUAGGAAAUCAUCUUCAUCCAGACUUAUUCCUGAGUGGAAGAACUUGAAGUUCCUCAUAAAUAAGAUCCUGAAGGACAUAAAGAAUGAUGAAGAACCAAAGAAUGAUGUGGUUCUACUGAGUGACUGGCCUGAGACUCUAUACCGGGAGUCUCACCAUCCACAGAACAAGCCUUUUGUCUGCUUCUACUACUCCAUCAAGGUCAACUGUUUUGUCUCCUUAAACUGGAUGGAACCCUGUGGAAAAAUGCAGGUAAAGCCACCUCGUUUUUCCCCCUCUCCUUCUUAAUUCAAUUUACAUGCAUCACACCUGAACUGCCCUCAUUUUAGAAUGAUGGUAGUGACUGUGAAUUAGCUCAUUUUAGUACCCAUCUCCAUAUCCCAGUUUGACUGGAUGCAGUGAUCCUUCUUCACCUCAUGUUAUCAGGCCCUCAGAAUUCAUAUUCUCCAUCAAGUAGACUGAAGGCCAAGAAAAGGGCCUUGAACAUGGUGCUUCUAUCACAUACCCAAUUCCUAGUAUAAUAGUCCCCACGAAUUCAUGGGGGAUACAUUCCAAGCCCCCAGUGGACAUCGGAAAUUGCAGAUAGUACCAAACCUGACUGCCAUCAAUUGGAACAUGUUUGUGUUCAUGUGGCUCACCUACAAAUUUUGUGCUUUUUCCCUCAUAACUAAGUGCUAUCAUGCACUAUGUCCAUAAUGCGUGCACUUGAGGUGCAACAGCAAAACUAGCAUGAAUUUGUCUUUCCUCCUUCACAAUUUCACAGAAGAUUCAUUCUUUUUUUUUUUUUUAUUUUUGAGACAGAGUCUCACUCUGCUGCCCAGGCUGGAGUGCAGU